rnacentral:sRNA from 1 species
CUUGGGGUACAUGGAACUGAUUCCAGCAGUGGGACCAGAUUCACCUGGGCCAUCGCAUGCCUGAUUCAUGGGCAGCCUCACUGAGAGCAGUGGCAGAUAGAGUCACCUGCUCCAUUUCAGUGGCUUUUUCCUCUUUGCUCUUUUUUUUCAAUAUUCCUGGUUGAAUUUGUGUAGUGGAAUGAUCAUAUGAUGCAACUACCGUAAUAGAAUUUAUUUGACAAGCUAGUGCAAUUAGUUAUUAAUGAAUGUAAACUUCACAGGAUUAGAAGGGCUAUGUGUUUCACUAUUUUUGUAUCUUUGGGUUCUACAAAAUAUACUAGAGUGUCACAUAAUUCGAGAAGGGAUUUCAGGAACGUGGAUGUUAACUACUAAUAGUUUGAAAAUGAUACUAUCUGGGGGUUUCCUUUUUUUUCCACUUCUCUCCAACAUAUUAAGAAAACUAUUCGGAUAUUAUUUUGCCUUGUGCAGUAGAUUGCUAGUGGUUGUGAAUUGUGUUUUAAUAAGAACCUGUUCUGUUUAUGACUUCAGGAUUUUUUAUUGGUGGACCUUCUAAUAUGAUUAGUUCUGCUAUUUCUGCGGACUUGGGUCGCCAGGAGCUCAUCCAAAGGAGCAGUGAAGCUUUGGCCACUGUCACAGGAAUUGUGGAUGGUUCGGGGAGCAUUGGAGCUGCAGUGGGCCAGUAUUUAGUGUCUCUGAUCCGGGACAAGCUAGGAUGGAUGUGGGUUUUCUACUUUUUCAUUCUCAUGACAAGUUGUACAAUUGUGUUUAUCUCGCCAUUAAUAGUGAGGGAAAUAUUCUCUCUCGUGCUAAGGAGACAGGCUCACAUAUUGAGGGAGUGACUGGUGCCCGUGAGACAGAAAGAACAAUGUCAGCCACAUCAGGACCGCUGGGGCUUCGAGUCUGCCCUAAUUUGGGUUUGUCUAGGAGCUCCAGCCUGAUCUUGGAUUGUCAGGCGUCUCUCAACACUGCCAGGCACCUGAGAUGCUGACCAGCAGUGAAGGCUGCACUAGUUGUCUACACUACAGGAAUUAUUGUUGAUGAUUUUUGCUGUUGUUUCAUGAAUGUGCCGAGUGACUUCUGACUCUGCCAGCAUCUUUGACCUCUGACUCUGCCAGCGUCUUUGUUUGGCCUAUUGAGGUUUAGCAUUUUAACCUUAACUGUUGUUUUGGACUUGAACUUUCUCUAGCCUUGAAAAUGGAGUGAACAGGAGGCAAAGCCACGCGUGGUUUGUGUUGGUGAUAUGUUCCACAAAUGGAAGAGAUCAUUGCAUUUUGCUUUGGUAAUGAGUUUACAGAGAGUGGCUCAUCUUUGAAGCAUCAAAUCCUGAUCAAAUGCUCAAGCUGGACCGAGCUGCAAGCCUGCCUUGGACAAAGAAUCCCUCUGUUCACUGUGGUGGGAAAGAUCACACUACAUGCCUGUUGAUUGGGUCAGUCACUCUGUGUCUGAUCUAAACGUCAUUCAGCCCUAGAAGAAUGAAUAGCUUCAAAUUAUUGUCAACUUGUUCUCUUCCAUCUUCAUUCAAAUUAACUUUGACUCCUGGAAGUAUUGAGUCUUCCUUUCAAGGACCAUAAGGUACAUCAGUUAUCUUGAACAUUCCAACGUGUAACUCACAGCCGAAGCACUCCAUCCCAGAUUUGUUGUCUGGGAACUUUAGGAUCCUCUAGGAAGCUAAUCUGCUUAGUCUAUUUUUAGAGGAUUGAUCUCUGGCACAACCAGCUUCCUGGAGUUACCUCAGCAGAAGACUAGAAUUAGAGAAAAAGGAAAGACCUUUUCUUCUAGUAAGUGUCAAGUACAGAUGCUCUUUGACUUAUGAUGGGGUUAUGUCCCAGUAAACCCAUUGGAAGUCAAAUGCAUUUAAUACCCCUGACUGAACACCACAGCUUAGCCUCGUCCGCCCUAAAUGUACUCAGAACACUUAGAAUUGCCCACAGUUGGGCAGAAUCAUCUAACACAAACUCUAUUUUAUAAUCGAGUGUUGAAUAUAUCAUGUAAUUUAUUUAAUAUUGUACAUUAUGUUGAAAUUGCAACCAUUUCGCACCAUUGUAAAGUCCAAAAAUCAGAAGCUGAGGACUGUCUGUACGUGACAUUGAAUCACAUGAAUGGAUUACUAGAGGGUCUGAGGGGUGUCCGUUCUUUAGAAAAAUGUAGAGUAUAUAUAUCUUCAGGGCUGUGAAUUCCAUACUAGUUAUCAAUAUUUUAAGAUCAUUCUGUAUAUACAUAUUUUAAAUUAUGCAAGCAAACUAGGAGGAGAAUGUGCAAUUUUGAGGGAUACCUAAUUUGCAUUCGGUUAGGGGAUAUUUUUCAACCUCUUGCUUUAUACUCUGAUAUGGGGUGUGUUUAUGAACUUUUUAAUGUUAUUUAAUCAUGCAGAUUUCCAAUCAGUGUAUUGCUCAUUUACUGACAAAAAGGGAAAAUACGAAACACAGAAAGGGAAAAUAAACUGACUUUUAUAAUG